UUUGACUCUAAAAUACAGAUUUUAUAUAUUUCCUUCUGUUUAUAUUCAUACAUUUUGUGUGUUUUUUUAAUGAAUAGUUUGUGUCGCUUAUAGGAUCUUGAAUACUUUUACUAAUAAACAGCUUUUACAUAAUCACUAACAAAAUAGAAAAACGGACAACAAAUGUAAAUGACUGUUCUUCAGUCAGGCGACAAGUGGUCUAUACAUUCCCAAGAGGGGCAAAGUCCAGCUUUUCAAGAAGUGCACUGUUACUGAGAGUUACCAUUUUCUUACCUAUAUAAUUGAACGAGGUCACCUGUGUGUGCAGUUGGGUUUAGUGAAACAGUCACACAACAGAGGUGGGAAUAUAGAUUGUUGCCUUUGUGAAAAGCAGUGGAAUUGAUGUUAUCAAGAACCUUACAAAUAUACCUUUUGACCCAGAAAUUAUCUUUUAGUAUUUUGUGGACUCAGAUAUGGUUAAGGAUUUUCAUUCCAGAAUUAUUUUUGAUGGCCUGAUGGGUUUUUUUUAAAGAAGGGAAACUACCUGAACACCUACCAGUAGAAAGAUGAUUCAGUGAUUUAUGCUACAGCUACAUGAUAUUCUAGCUUCAAAUCACGUUUUCACCCAAUAUUUAAUGACAUUAAAGCAUUUUUCAGUUAUUUGAAAUUAAGGAAACAGUAAUAAUCAGGUUCUCGCUAGAUACUGUUGUUGAAGUACAUUGUUUAUAAAAUUAAGAGAGAGGAAAACUUAAGAGAAAAGAUGAAGGAAUACAUCUAAUGGUUUCUGAAAGUCUUUGAUUUCCACGUGUCUGUACGCUAACCUGGUGGAUGAUAGUCGAGUCAAAGACAGCCCCACAUUAUCAUCGCCUGCACCAGAAAUGCGGGGUUUUCACUUUUAAGUUUGUGGUUUCUGCUAGUAAGUUUUUUAACUUAUAACAUUGGGUUCUCAUUUUGUACCUUUUGGUUUAUUUGUAACUCAUUUCUGUUAUCUGAUAAAAGUUCUACUUAGACUUCUAAAAUAGUCCUUUGACUUGGACAUGUCUCUGGAGGAGGGGUGUGACUUGGUUCAUCUCAGGGUCCACCCAGAAAGAGCCAGAGGGCCAAUAUGUGGAACAAAGCAUAGCAGCCAAGGUAUUGCACACCUGUGUACUCCCUGUGACUCCUGGUCUGAGUUAAAUAGAAUCAGUGAUACCAGGUGAGAAAGGGUUUGCACCCUUCCCUGCCAAGGUAUAAUAAAUUUGGGGCAGAUAAGGGAGGUGAAUGAAAAGUGAUUGAGAAUCCAAGAGAUGAAGGUCAGUACAUUGUUUGCUUCAGAACAUUUAUUUUAUCCCUCUUAUGUAUGCCUCAUGUAUUGAAAAUGUAUAAUGUUAAAGACUAUCCUUGGUAGCCUAGGACAGUUUGGAAAAUCUGUUCCUGUGUGCCAAACGGUGUCACACUGGUUUUAUACUUGUGUGUGACCGUCAGACACAUCACUCACUCUCAGGCUGACCACUGCUGUAAAGGGCGAGGCCUUGAGAAGCACAGGCUCACUUCCAUCUUGGUUCCCAAAAUCCUUUGGUAGCAUCAAAUACUGUUUUAAGUGGAAAUUAAGAUUCCUCAAGGAGCAGGUGAUUUCUUUAAACCAUUACUCUCAUAAGACAUUUUGAAAUUUUUAAAAUUAAGAGAUCGUAUUAUUUUGUCAUUGAAGCUUUUGAUAACUAGCGCAGCAGUAUAUUUGGAUUUCGUAAUUUUGUUAUAAAAUUAAAUUUAGGAUUCGUGUUGGGACUGUAUUUUGAUUUUAAAUAUAAAUGUAAUAGUUCACUGUUUGAAAUUAGGAACUUAAGAUUUAAAAUUUGACAUUACUAAAUAAUGCUUGUUCUUUUUGCACAUAUUUAUACCUGGGAGCUUCCUGUGAGAAUACUGAUCAG